rnacentral:rRNA from 1 species
AAUCUUGGACAAUGGGGGGAACCCUGAUCCAGCCAUUCCGCGUGUGCGAUGAAGGCCUUCGGGUUGUAAGCAACUUUUGCCGGGGAGGAAAUUCGGCGGCCAAUUACUCUGCGGGGAGGCGGUACCUUGAGGAUAAGCCACCGCCAACCUACGUCCAGGCAGCCGCGGUAAUACGUAGGGUGAAAGCGUUAAUCGGAAUUACUGGGCGUAAAGGGUGCGCAGGCGGCUCGGAAAGAAAGAUGUGAAAUCCCAGGGCUCAACCUUGGAACUGCAUUUUUAACUACCGGGCUAGAGUGUGUCAGAGGGAGGUGGAAUUCCGCGUGUAGCAGUGAAAUGCGUAGAUAUGCGGAGGAACACCGAUGGCGAAGGCAGCCUCCUGGGAUAACACUGACGCUCAGGCACGAAAGCGUGGGGAGCAAAC